rnacentral:pre_miRNA from 1 species
AAUAAGUACAGUUUUAGCACUGUUUAUGUCCAACGUUUGACCAUUCGUUUUAUUUGAAAAAAGAUUAUGAUUAGUAUUUUUAUUGUUAUUAGAUGAUAAAACAUGAAUAGUACUUUAUGUGUGACUAAUUUUUUUUAAUAUUUUUCAUAAAUUUUUUAAAUAAGACGGAUGGUCAAAACGCUGAGCACGUAUAUCUAUGGCUACAUUUAUU